rnacentral:tRNA from 1 species
GCCUGGUGGUACAAUGGUUAAGCACUCAGCUGCUAACUGAAAGUUUGGUGGUUCAAAUCCACCCAAUGGCU